UUCGCCCUUAGAGUUUGAUCCUGGCUCAGGAUGAACGCUAGCUACAGGCUUAACACAUGCAAGUCGAGGGGAAACGACAUCGAAAGCUUGCUUUUGAUGGGCGUCGACCGGCGCACGGGUGAGUAACGCGUAUCCAACCUGCCCACCACUUGGGGAUAACCUUGCGAAAGUAAGACUAAUACCCAAUGAUAUCUCUAGAAGACAUCUGAAAGAGAUUAAAGAUUUAUCGGUGAUGGAUGGGGAUGCGUCUGAUUAGCUUGUUGGCGGGGUAACGGCCCACCAAGGCGACGAUCAGUAGGGGUUCUGAGAGGAAGGUCCCCCACAUUGGAACUGAGACACGGUCCAAACUCCUACGGGAGGCAGCAGUGAGGAAUAUUGGUCAAUGGACGAGAGUCUGAACCAGCCAAGUAGCGUGCAGGAUGACGGCCCUAUGGGUUGUAAACUGCUUUUAUAAGGGAAUAAAGUGAGUCUCGUGAGACUUUUUGCAUGUACCUUAUGAAUAAGGACCGGCUAAUUCCGUGCCAGCAGCCGCGGUAAUACGGAAGGUCCGGGCGUUAUCCGGAUUUAUUGGGUUUAAAGGGAGCGUAGGCCGGAGAUUAAGCGUGUUGUGAAAUGUAGACGCUCAACGUCUGCACUGCAGCGCGAACUGGUUUCCUUGAGUACGCACAAAGUGGGCGGAAUUCGUGGUGUAGCGGUGAAAUGCUUAGAUAUCACGAAGAACUCCGAUUGCGAAGGCAGCUCACUGGAGCGCAACUGACGCUGAAGCUCGAAAGUGCGGGUAUCGAACAGGAUUAGAUACCCUGGUAGUCCGCACGGUAAACGAUGGAUGCCCGCUGUUGGUCUGAAUAGGUCAGCGGCCAAGCGAAAGCAUUAAGCAUCCCACCUGGGGAGUACGCCGGCAACGGUGAAA
rnacentral:rRNA from 1 species